AGGCAAGAUAGUUUCAUUGUAUAUGCGAAUGUGCAAGGUUAUCUGUUGUCUUUAAGCAGACAAAAGAAUGACAUGUAAGUAUGCAUUCAUUGAUUCCAGCUGACAUCUAGAUUUUAUACUUUAUUAUUUUUCAAUUAAAUGGGAGGGGGGGAAGUUAAACUGAUCUGACAUAUAUACAUACAUACACACAUAUAUAAUAUACACACCGGACUGAUUUGUUUUCCCAGUUCCUGCAUGUUGCAGCUUUUUAAAUGUUGACUUUACAGAGCUACUGGAGGAAUUUGCAUUUACUGCUGCUCAGACAGGCUGUGUGCUGACACAACUUUCUUUUUGUGUCGGUCAGCUUCUGAGAGACAGGUGCCACAGUCUGCUUUGUAGAUGCUGUUCAGUGCCUUUGACUGCUUUACGAGUGUAUGGAGAUCGUUUACAUCAGUUCAGUAAAAUAGCAGAGCUCUACAGUGCUGGCAUUUAUCACGAGAAGACACACAGUGCAGCCUCGCAUAAAUAAUGGCACUGGGCCAAGUAGAGCUGAGGUGGUUGCCAGCACAACUCCAUUGAAGUCUAAGGAAUUGCACUGUGGGUGUUUCGUUCUGCCACAUAUUGCCCUUUCCCUUGGAGAGUACAAAGGUGUGUGUGUGUCAAAGAAGAAAGAGCACAUAAUGAGUCACGCUCCAUCACAGAGAAUGGAGAUGUCUACUGGCUGCUUAAUGAGGUUUUGAAUGACAGUCAACAUCUCUGCAUCCAAAAGCAACAGAUUCAAUAUCAGCUGGAGUUUUCUCAUUUGCUUUAAAGAGGAGAAGGCAAAUUCUUAUUUGUUAUGGGGAAGAGCUUCUUUGCAUGAGGUGAAAUUCCUACCAAUUCUGCUGUUCAGCCUGGGGAGCCCAGCACACUGUCGUCAGUGGCUACAGAGGCUGAGUUGCUGCUGGAGAAGGGGACUGUGAAGGGGUCUUCUAGCUUGGCCACUCAUAUGCCGGGCAGUCAGAUUCUGACAGACAUCUGACAUGUUGAGGUGUACGUGAGGUCAUUUUGCCCUGCAUCAUGCCAGAUCAGAGCUCCCUCCUGCCUUAGCCUUGGGACUUCUGUGUGCAGAUUGAAGCAUCUUGCCUUUUUUUUUGGUGCCUGGCUCACUCUGUGGAAGAACAGAACUUAGGUCUUGUACUGAAUCUGCUAACUGGCAAGUCAGGCUCCAGAAGAGGGUCUUAGAAGUGGAGUCUUAACCUGCAUCCCUGCAUUUAAAAUAUCAGCACAUGACUGUGAUCAUGAAAAAAGCUGCAUAGAUUCCUGUUGCUGGAAGCUUCAUCCUUGGGCAAACUGACAGAGUGGAGAGAAUAAAAGGAUCAAAAAGGUUGGGAGAAGCAAACUUCAAGAUCUUAGUACUUUUACAGAUGUGAUCCAAGGUCCUAUCCUUGCAGCCUCGGAAGUAGAUAAGACCUUGAUGAUUUGUUUAGGUUUUAUAUUGCUCCCUGUUCUGGAAGUGCACAGCUCUUUUAUUGAAGAUGAGUGACACUAGGAAGGGUUUUCUGAAAGGGUUAACAGCAUUUGCUGAUGUUAGCUGAAUCUCUUCCCUUUAGGAGAGUGAGGUUGGGAGGGGUGUGUCAGUGGUAGCAGCUUGAUGUUAAAACUCAGUUGUGUGCCUGUGUGAUCACUUUAAUCUCCAAGCCUGGUUUGGCACAGACUCCUGCUCUCCAUCUGUGCUAGGGAGGCAGUGAAUACCAGCAAGAGGGGAAGCAAAAUUCUGGACAUGGAAAUCUGCUCAGCCACCACAUUCGCCUGACACUGUGCAUUGGAGCCUCUGAUGUAGGAGCGGUGGACCACUUUCCGGAGAUGUUCCUCCUCUCUCUACUGCAUGUGCUUUCCAUGGUCACCCACCAAGCCAGGAGUUGGAGAAGUAGGUGAUAUGCAAUACAUUCAGCUGAGUCCGAUCACUCACCACUGAGGGAGUAUUUUUUCUCAGAGCUGUCAGCAGAAAGCAAGAGUGUUACAUUCAGUUAACAGGAGGUAGGCUUGUAGUCUCAACUAUCCAACAUUUUUGGUGGAGUUGUGCCAAAAUUGUGCAUCUCAGUUUGCACGGGCAGGACCAGACUUCCUAUCAGUGCUACCCUGUGAUUUUGACUCUUGUUUUUCUUUAAAAUUUGGGUUCGUUUUAGGCCAUCAUCCGCAAGAAAGACGACAGCUGCAUCAGUAUCUGUCAUUCAAGUGUGAGAAGUUGAAUAGUUUGUUGAUGGCAGCAGGGUUGUUUUCUAUUUUUCAACAAUGUGAAAGAAAAGUCAAAUCAAUCAUGCAUCUCACUCCUACACUACUAAUGGAUGGACAGACAAGAGCUUUUUUCAGCUGACAUCUAGUAUGCUAAGUAGAAAGAUUGUUCCCCUCAGUUUGCUUCCUUUGUGUAAUGAAUGAUGAGUAAAUGAAUCAGCGAGGUAAAAUGUGUGACAGAUAACAAAUUAGUUACAAACUUUGUAAUUUUGAGUAGGUGUCCUGACACGGGGGAGUAGCCACAUGCUGGUGUCCAGACACUUCUGAUGGUGCCCAGACUUGCAAUCACUUCUGACUGUACAUUGAUGUUUAAAUAAGUUAUAAUUCCAAGUGGUUUCCUAGAUGUUCCUGGGACUGUAGGAUCUUUUCAGGGCCCAAAAAUCCUUGGAUGAAGUUUCUCAAUGAGCUAUAAAACUAAAUUUAACAUAUUUAAUUUUUUCAAGAAACAAGGCUUCAUCAUGAAUUCUAAUAUUUUCAGUUAACUCCUAAAUUCCCAAGUGCUGCUUUUGCUUGUGGGGAGCUGCUCUCAUGUGGCACAGGGAACAGGCGAGCAUCAUGAAAACCAGCCUCUCAGUCACUGUAACGCUGAGGCAACAGUGGAGGCAAGUCUUUGCUUUAUUGCAAACUAAUAUUGUGCUCAUUUUAAUAAAGCACCCCACCUUUUAUUACACUAUGAGUGGUGGUGAGGAAAGGUAAUGAUUUUUUCUUUCUUGUCAGUCCAUGAGCCGAUCAUGUUCUGUGAUAUGGGUUCAUAGCUGUAGAUUAGAAAAGCCCCAUUUAUUGGUUUGUAAAUGGCACCUUCUCAAAGCACCAGCAGAUUGAUUCUGAUGAGUGCUAGAUCUUCUCUUUCACUUUUUUGUUCUCUUAUACUGUUCUCUGAUAGGAUGGUCAACCACUGGCAAUUAGUCCCCCACUGACUCUCUUUAGGUAUAUGUAAAAUAACAAUAAAAAGUAUAAUAAUAUAAUUUUUAAAAUCAUUUUAUAUACAGAAUCUCUUUUUUUUUUUUUUUUACUAACCUGAAAAAGAAUCUGAUAAUAGCUUAUAGCCAAAGGAUGUAUUGUUUUACUUUAGCUUUUGGAUUUCAAAGGAAUCUUUUCUUAAAAAGAAAAAAAAAAAAAAAAAGAAAAAAAAAAAAAGUCUAUCAGUAACUGCUGUAUUUUAAAAAUAAAUAUUUUCCUGAUAGAAAAACAAGGUGCUAAACACAUAUAAGUUUUCAGUUUGUCUGUGCUGGUCAGGUAAUAUUAAAGCUAGCUUCCUAUAUUUGUAAGAUUUAAUUUAGCAUAGCCUUUGCUUCUGGUAUUCACUUUCUGUGAAUAACUCCUGAAGGAUACAAAAAACAACACAGCAAAAAUAAUAUUUGCAGUAAAGGAUGGACUUAGAGCAUCUAACAAAUUUAAAUAGGUAUAUUCUAUUGGUAGCUCUAAUGCUUUGAAUUCUCAAAUUGUUAUCAAAACUGGCUCAAAGCUGUAUUUUAUCACAACUGUGUCACAAUGCAUUAUGAGAUAUUUGUGUUAUAUUUCAUGUGGUAAAUUGGAACCGUUCUAUGUAUGAAAGGAUACUGUCCAUCAAAACAGAAUUUAUGGAAUUGUUAUAUCUUAUUCUGUUAUUUUCUGUUUGUAGUUUUUUUAUAAAUGUUCACUUUUUUGGAAGGAUGAAAAAUACAGUGAAAGUUCAUGAGGGCUAUAGUGAAGUUAUUACUACAGUUAAUGAAGCUUUAUGGAAUGAUUUUUUUUAUUACUGAUUAGCUAAGAAAAAAAAAAAAAAAGUACUAAGAGGACAAAUAGGUACCAGUGUUAAAAAAAAAAAAAAUGAAAAAAUGUGCAAAGUUUACAAGCUGACUAUUUUUGUGGUGCCACUAGACUUCUGAUUUUAUUUUUAACAUCUUACUGUCAUUCUUGUUCAUAUUAGUUCACUAAGGAGGGUAACGUCUAGCCUAACAAGCUGGUCCUACUGGCAAAGUAUCUGGGAGCAGUGAUCCUUCACAUCAUGGCUGGCUUUC